rnacentral:rRNA from 1 species
GUUGAACGCUGGCGGCAGGCCUAACACAUGCAAGUCGAACGAGUGGCGGACGGGUGAGUAAUGUGUGGGAAACUGCCCGAUGGAGGGGGAUAUCUACUGGAAACUGUAGCUAAUACCGCAUACCAUCGGAUGUGCCCAGAGGGGAGUAGCUAGUAGGUGGGGUAACGGCUCACCUAGGCGACGAACCCUAGCUGGUCUGAGAGGAUGACCAGCCACCCUGGAACGGAGAUCUGGCCCAUACGCCCACGGGAGGCAGCAGUGGGGAAUCUUGCACAAGCGGUGCAAGCUUGAUGCAGCCAUGCCGCGUGUAUGAAGAAGGCCUUCGGGUUGUAAAGUGAUUUCAUCGGGGAGGCGGUACUCACAGAAGAAGCACCGGCUAACUCCGUGCCAGCAGCCGCGGUAAUAC